UACGAAGGGGGCUAGCGUUGUUCGGAAUUACUGGGCGUAAAGCGCACGUAGGCGGACUAUUAAGUCAGGGGUGAAAUCCCGGGGCUCAACCCCGGAACUGCCUUUGAUACUGGUAGUCUCGAGUCCAGAAGAGGUGAGUGGAAUUCCGAGUGUAGAGGUGAAAUUCGUAGAUAUUCGGAGGAACACCAGUGGCGAAGGCGGCUCACUGGUCCGGUACUGACGCUGAGGUGCGAAAGCGUGGGGAGCAAACAGG
rnacentral:rRNA from 1 species